rnacentral:rRNA from 1 species
UACGAGGGGGGCAAGCGUUGUUCGGAUUUAUUGGGCGUAAAGGGUGCGUAGGCGGCGCGGUAAGUCGGGUGUGAAAUCUCGGAGCUUAACUCCGAAACUGCAUUCGAUACUGCCGUGCUUGAGGACUGGAGAGGAGACUGGAAUUUACGGUGUAGCGGUGAAAUGCGUAGAUAUCGUAAGGAAGACCAGUGGCGAAGGCGGGUCUCUGGACAGUUCCUGACGCUGAGGCACGAAGGCCAGGGGAGCAAACGGG